UACAGAGGGGGCAAGCGUUGUUCGGAAUUACUGGGCGUAAAGGGCGCGUAGGCGGCCCGCUAAGUCGAACGUGAAAUCCCCGGGCUCAACCCGGGAACUGCGUCCGAUACUGGCAGGCUUGAAUCCGGGAGAGGGAUGUGGAAUUCCAGGUGUAGCGGUGAAAUGCGUAGAUAUCUGGAGGAACACCGGUGGCGAAGGCGGCAUCCUGGACCGGUAUUGACGCUGAGGCGCGAAAGCGUGGGGAGCAAACAGG
rnacentral:rRNA from 1 species